rnacentral:rRNA from 1 species
GACGAACGCUGGCGGCGUGCCUAAUACAUGCAAGUCGAACGAACUCUGGUAUUGAUUGGUGCUUGCAUCAUGAUUUACAUUUGAGUGAGUGGCGAACUGGUGAGUAACACGUGGGAAACCUGCCCAGAAGCGGGGGAUAACACCUGGAAACAGAUGCUAAUACCGCAUAACAACUUGGACCGCAUGGUCCGAGUUUGAAAGAGUGUCUUCGCUAUCUACGUUUGG